CAGCGCCUUAAAAACAUUUAACAACACGUGUAUCAUAUUAUUGUUCCCAACAAAAGCUAUCAUAUAGUAUGUUUCUCAAGUUAUACCCCCAGUUUCACCACAUCCAAAAUUUAAGAGAAGAAAAUUUAGAGUUUCAUAGAAAAAGGGUAGAAACAGUGAGCUCCACUCCACAAGUGUUUUUCUUAGAAUUGCAAAUCCGUUUCUCCCGUCUCUACAGCAAAACAAGAUUCAUUCUUUAAUUUUUCCUACUCACGGAGGGUACGUCCGCAAGUAAAGUCGGAACGAAUGAUUCAAGUUAAGGGAACUAAAUGAUCCAGGUUGAGCAGCGAAGUGGUGGAGGAAGUGCUAUUGACACAAGACAUUUAAUUC